UACGUAGGGUGCGAGCGUUGUCCGGAUUUAUUGGGCGUAAAGAGCUCGUAGGCGGUUUGUCGCGUCGGCCGUGAAAUCUCCACGCUUAACGUGGAGCGUGCGGUCGAUACGGGCAGACUUGAGUUCGGUAGGGGGAGACUGGAAUUCCUGGUGUAGCGGUGAAAUGCGCAGAUAUCAGGAGGAACACCGGUGGCGAAGGCGGUUCUCUGGGCAUGAUCUGACGCUGAGGAGCGAAAGUGUGGGGAGCGAACAGG
rnacentral:rRNA from 1 species